UACGUAGGGGGCAAGCGUUGUCCGGAAUCAUUGGGCGUAAAGAGCGUGUAGGCGGCCAGAUAAGUCCGCUGUGAAAUCUCGAGGCUCAACUUCGAGCUGUCGGUGGAAACUGUCUGGCUAGAGUCCGGAAGAGGAGAAUGGAAUUCCUGGUGUAGCGGUGAAAUGCGCAGAUAUCAGGAAGAACACCCGUGGCGAAAGCGGCUUUCUGGUCCUUAACUGACGCUGAGGCGCGAAAGCAUGGGGAGCGAACGGG
rnacentral:rRNA from 1 species